CAAAAUGCUAUGAUUGGGUAAAGGGUAUGAUUGGUAUUUUCUGACAGAGAACCGGCGGUUGCUGAGAGCCGGGAGAUGAUCCGUAUAUCCGACUUCGCCCGGGAGCAGCUAUGUCGAAUUUUUUUCUAGAGAAACAGGAGGCAUAGACGUGAUUCCGCGUUAGGGAAUGUCUGGUAAGACACUGAGUAUAAUAUCAGGGUGGUACCGCGAUACUUCGCCCCUGUU
rnacentral:ncRNA from 1 species